AAGUACAUGUAGGAAUGUAUACAUGGAGCAUGAAAAAAAAGGGGGGCUAGAAUCAGGGUGACGAUUAGGAACUAUAUUAGGUAGAACCCUAUCAUUCAUCCUAGGGGAUUUUUCCUUUAUUCUAAGAGCAAUGAGCUACUCAAUGGUUUCUAGGCGAGGAGGGAAAUCAGGAGCUGAUUGGGUGAUAGUUUAGAUGGGGGCGUGAGUGAAUGAAAGGAGACCAGUAGGAUGCCACUAACAAAUCUGAAGUGAAAAAUGAUGUUUGCUUAGACGAGGGUGUUGGUGUAGAUGAAAAGAAGUGGGCUAUUUUAGAUACAUGUAAAAAAUAAAAGCAAUUUGAUGGGAUGUGUAUUAUAAGGGAAAAUGAAAUAAAAUUCUCUUGCCUCUGGAUUAAGCAUGAUGAAAAUGAAGUCGCUCAGUCGUGUCCAACUCUUUGUGACCCUAUGGACUAGCCCACCAGGCUCCUCUGUCCAUGAGAAUGCUCCAGUACUGCCUGGGAAAUCUCGUGGAGAGAGGAGCCUGUCCAUGGGGUGGCAGAGAGUGAGACACAACUUGGUGACUGAAACCACCCCUGCAUAGUCCCUUCUCACUGAAUAUAUUGAUAUUUCUUCUAUUUCCUCUACUUUUUUCUUAGCUUUGGUGGAGGAUGGCAAAUGUAUUAGUAUUUUCCAAGCAAUAACUUUUGGGUUUUAUUAUUCUUCCUACUGUCUUCUUAUAUAUGAAUUUAGUAAUUCUUGAUCCUAUCUUGGUUAAUUUUUUUCUUCUCAUAUCCUUGCCUUAUUUGGGGACACAUGAAUUGAAUGCUUCAUUCAUGUAAAAAUUCGUACAUUUUGAAAAUACAAAUUUACCAUGAACCCUGAAUUCAGAUUUGGAGCAAUCUAUUAGAUUUUGUUUACUUUAAAUUACUAUGUAAAAUUUAAAUGACCAUUUCAAAGAGAGUAAUAGAGAAAAGAAUGAUGUAUUCAGAAUAAUGAUAUCUGUAUAUCCAGAUAAAUUACCAUAUUUUAGUUUUGGAACUGCUAUCAAAAUAAUAAUCAUUAA
ensembl:lncRNA